rnacentral:rRNA from 1 species
AGUGAACGCUGGCGGUAGGCCUAACACAUGCAAGUCGAACGGCAGCACCGUAAGAGCUUGCUCUUACGGGUGGCGAGUGGCGGACGGGUGCGGAAUACAUCGGAAUCUACUUUUUCGUGGGGGAUAACGUAGGGAAACUUACGCUAAUACCGCAUACGACCUACGGGUGAAAGCAGGGGAUCUUCGGACCUUGCGCGAUUGUAUGAGCCGAUGUCGGAUUAGCUAGUUGGCGGGGUAAAGGCCCACCAAGGCGACGAUCCGUAGCUGGUCUGAGAGGAUGAUCAGCCACACUGGAACUGAGACACGGUCCAGACUCCUACGGGAGGCAGCAGUGGGGAAUAUUGGACAAUGGGCGCAAGCCUGAUCCAGCCAUACCGCGUGGGUGAAGAAGGCCUUCGGGUUGUAAAGCCCUGUUGUUGGGAAAGAAAAGCAGCAGGUUAAUACCCCGCGGUUCUGACGGUACCCAAAGAAUAAGCACCGGCUAACUUCGUG